rnacentral:rRNA from 1 species
AACGAACGCUAGCGGCAGGCUUAAUACAUGCAAGUCGAGGGGCAGCACGGGUAGCAAUACUGGGUGGCGACCGGCAAACGGGUGCGGAACACGUACACAACCUUCCUAUAAGUGGGGAAUAGCCCAGAGAAAUUUGGAUUAAUACCCCGUAACAUAAUGAUAUGGCAUCAUAUUAUUAUUAUAGCUUCGUCGCUUAUUGAUGGGUGUGCUGCUGAUUAGAUAGUUGGCGGGGUAACGGCCCACCAAGUCUACGAUCAGUAGCUGAUGUGAGGACAUGAUCAGCCACAAGGGCACUGAGACACGGGCCCGACUCCUACGGGAGGCAGCAGUAAGGAAUAUUGGUCAAUGGACGCAAGUCUGAACCAGCCAUGCCGCGUGAAGGAUUAAGGUCCUCUGGAUUGUAAACUUCUUUUAUCUGGGACGAAAAAAGGCUUUUCUAAGUCACUUGACGGUACCAGAUGAAUAAGCACCGGCUAACUCCGUGCCAGCAGCCGCAGUAACAC